rnacentral:rRNA from 1 species
ACGGUGGAGUAACACGUAUGCAAUCCACCUGUAACAGGGGGAGUAACCCGGAGAAAUCGGACUAAUACCCAUAAUAUGGGCGCUCCGCAUGGAGAGUCCAUUAAAGAGAGCAAUCUUGGUUACAGACGAGCAUGCGCUCCAUUAGCCAGUUGGCGGGGUAACGGCCCACCAAGGCGACGAUGGAUAGGGGUUCUGAGAGGAAGGUCCCCCACAUUGGAACUGAGACACGGUCCAA